ACCCGGCAGCUCAUAUGGAAUUACUGCAGUGACCUUGAGCUAGAGGCUGCCAGCAUCUCUUGUGUGCUGAGACAUUCUGGAGGGGGAUCAUGCCUUCCUUCUGAUGCUCCCACCGCACAACGCGCAGAGCUGAGAUUCAUCUCGCCCCAGGUCCCGGCGCUGAAGGUCUGAAGCUCCUGCCUUGGGUCGCAGGGAGAAGGCAGCAGGGAGGCCACGUGCCUCCAGGGGCUUUGCUGAUCUCAUCAGCCCGACUUUCCCAACAGGCCCUGGCCCUGCAAGCUGAACAUGCAUCCAGCUGCAGCCUGUGAGAACACCUCCAGCAUCCCAACCGUCCUCCGGGUCAACCUGGAGAACACCCCAGUUCGGGUGGCAGGAGGCAUUCUUCAUGGUUGCCUACGAUCCAGGCCUUCCUCUUCCUCUGUUCCCAAUGCUCCCGGUUCACCUGCAUCAGAUGGCCGAGGCAGCCAGCUUGCCCCUCUUCAGGCACUGAUUUUUUAAUAAGCAAAGUGAACCUCUCCACAGGGACAACAGCCUGUGAGCCACAGUGGAGCUGCACCAACUUGGGGUUUGCUUUGCUAGGUGGCCCACAACCCUGCCAUAGCAAAUAGGACCCAGCAAGGCUCUAAAGGCAAUUUCCCUCAGCCCUGGGGGGCCCUGCUCACCCAGACCCCCUCAGCCAUUGAGAAGCUUCUGGAAACGCACUGUCACCUUCUGCUUGUAGCGUUUUCCUGGAAUUCCCCUUCCCGGCCUCCCUAAUAGUUAUGGUGUCUUCAGACCCCGACUCACGUGAUGGGUUUGGUAUGCAACUCCGAAGACCAGGAAGGUCGCUCACCUCUCACAACACAAAUUAUUAACACUAAUACAAAUAACGCCCAGGUUUGGGAGAGGAGAAGGAAUACUCUCCUUGCCUGGCUGUUAGAACUUGGCAUUAUAGGGAGUAGAGCAUCCACGCAUCCUUCAGAGCGCAGGGCUGACCAGCUCUGAGGGUCUCUGCUCUAAUGACAGAACCCACAUCUCACACCAGGCCUGUAAAUGAGGGGUACAUGUUUCUAAAGGUGUUCGGUGGAAGCCAGCUCUAAUUCCACUGCAGUUCCAGUCAUGUAACUUCCACAAAUCAAUGCAAAAGAAAAAAAAAAAAGCAGCUGGCUCAGAAAAAGCUGCAGCAGCCAGACAGCAGAGUAUCACACUUGUUGGCCCAGCACAUCCCUUCCUGUGUGCUGCUUGUACCUUGUCCCUUGAGGACAUUCUUGUCCAAGGCUGUAUGAGGCACUAGCAAUAUUUAUGACAAAAAAUUAGACUAUUUGCAGCAUUCAGGUUUGUUCUUCGCAGAAGUUCUUAUGCCACCCCCCCGCCCUGGGCCACCAGGCUCCUCCCUUGGAAGGGGAGACAAGCCUAGGACAUUCUUCCAUGGUACAUGACUGACGUGAAACUCCCAUCUACCUGUUUUCAUAUUAACAAUUUUUCCUGUGAGCAGAGGUAUACAUGGAGCCUAGUUUCUAUAGGCUGGACUGGAGGCAUAGAUCUUGUGAAUGGGCUUUGCCAUCUUUCAAGGUAAAGGUACCCAAUAAAAGUAUUUCCUGCUUUUGAGACAA